rnacentral:rRNA from 1 species
AUUCCAGCUCCAAGAGCGUAUAUUAAAGUUGUUGCAGUUAAAAAGCUCGUAGUUGGAUUUCUGGUAUAAUGCGCCUGGCCCGCUCCGUUUCGGAGUGAGUGCCGGUGCGCGUUUGCCAUCCUUCUAGAAAAUGUUUCUACCCUUCGCUGGGCCGGAUUCACGAUCUAGAUCUUUUACUUUGAAAAAAUUAGAGUGUUUAAAGCAGGCUUUUGCUAUGAAUACAUUAGCAUGGAAUAAUAAUCUAGGACUUCGGUUCUAUUUUGUUGGUUUCUAGUACUGAAGUAAUGAUUGAUAGGGAUAGUUGGGGGUGCUAGUAUUGGCCGGCCAGAGGUGAAAUUCUUGGAUUCGGUCAAGACUAACUUAUGCGAAAGCAUUCACCAAGGAUGUCUUCAUCG